GAUGAAGAACGCAGCGAAAUGCGAUAAGUAAUGUGAAUUGCAGAAUUCAGUGAAUCAUCGAAUCUUUGAACGCACAUUGCGCCCGCCAGCACUCUGGCGGGCAUGCCUGUCCGAGCGUCAUUUCAACCCUCAGGCCCCCCGGGGACUGGUGUUGGGGAUCGGCCCGCCCUGGCGCGGCGCCGUCCCCGAAAUACAGUGGCGGUCUCGCUGCAGCCUCCCCUGCGUAGUAGCACACCUCGCAUUGGAGAGCGGCGCGGCCACGCCGUGAAACCCCAACUUCUGAUAGUUGACCUCGGAUCAGGUAGGAAUACCCGCUGAACUUAAGCAUAUCAAUAACGGAGGA
rnacentral:misc_RNA from 1 species